rnacentral:rRNA from 1 species
UACGGGGGGGGGCAAGCGUUGUUCGGAAUUACUGGGCGUAAAGCGCGUGUAGGCGGUUGCCCAAGUCGGGUGUGAAAGCCUUGAGCUCAACUCAAGAAAUGCACUCGGUACUGGGUGACUAGAGGACCGGAGAGGAUAGUGGAAUUCCCAGUGUAGUGGUGAAAUACGUAGAGAUUGGGAAGAACACCAGUGGCGAAGGCGGCUAUCUGGACGGUUUCUGACGCUAAGACGCGAAAGCGUGGGGAGCAAACAGG